GUGACUGAAGCGCCCGCAGGUGCCUGUGCCUGUGUAUCCCGACAAUAAACCAAAUCCUCUUGCUGAUUGCAUCCUGUGGUGUCUCGGUCUGGUCUUUGGAGUUAGAGGGUCUCCAUCCCGAGGGAAAGUUCUCCCUGAGAGCUUUUCAUUUGGUGCAUUGGCCGGGAAAGGAGAUCCUCCACCCAGGGACCACCGACCACCCACUGGGAGGUAAGCCGGCCGGCGUCUGUCUGUCUGUCUGAUUUUGUCUCGUUCUGUCUUAUUCUGUCUGUUCUGUGAGCGCUCAGCCAGGUCUGUUCUGUGAGCGCUCAGCCAGGUCUGUUCUGUGAGCGCUCAGCCAGGUUGUUUGGAAUUUGGGCGGGACGAAGAAGGAGCUGACGAGCUCGGACUUCUCGCCCCGCAGCCCUGGAAGACGUUCCAAGGGUGUUGGGGCCCGACUUUUCGGGGCCCAAUCUGGGAGAGGAGAAAGAUCCGGACUAACGGCACUCUGUCUGUAUUUUUGGCUUUCAGAGGGCCCCGGACCUUUGCCACCUCCAUCUGACUUUUUGCUUUCAGUUUGGUACCAAAGCCGUGCAGCACGCCUGUCUGUUGUUUGUUUGACUGUUGGUGUUGUUUGUUUUCUCUGUGUUCUAAUCUUCCUUAGAACUAACAUGGGACAGUCCCUAACAAUGCCCCUAAGUCUCACUCUUGAUCAUUAGAAAGACGUCCACGACCGGGCACACAACCAGUCCGUCGAGGUUAAAAAAGGAAAAUGACAGACUCUCUACACAUCCGAGUGGCCCACUUUCGGAGCGGGAUGGCCAGUGAAUG
ensembl:lncRNA